rnacentral:tRNA from 1 species
GCCAUCUUAGCUCAGUUGGCAGAGCACGUGACUUGUAAUCUCGAGGUCUUCGGUUCAAUUCCGAAAGAUGGCU